UAGCUAGUUGGUGAGGUAACGGCCCACCAAGGCAACGAUCGGUAGCCGGACUGAGAGGUUGAACGGCCACAUUGGGACUGAGACACGGCCCAGACUCCUACGGGAGGCAGCAGUGGGGAAUAUUGCACAAUGGGGGAAACCCUGAUGCAGCGACGCCGCGUGGAGGAAGAAGGUCUUCGGGUUGUAAACUCCUGUUGUUGAGGAAGAUAAUGACGGUACUCAACAAGGAAGUGACGGCUAACUACGUGCCAGCAGCCGCGGUAAAACGUAGGUCACAAGCGUUGUCCGGAAUUACUGGGUGUAAAGGGAGCGCAGGCGGGAAGACAAGUUGGAAGUGAAAUCCAUGGGCUCAACCCAUGAACUGCUUUCAAAACUGUUUUUCUUGAGUAGUGCAGAGGUAGGCGGAAUUCCCGGUGUAGCGGUGGAAUGCGUAGAUAUCGGGAGGAACACCAGUGGCGAAGGCGGCCUACUGGGCACCAACUGACGCUGAGGCUCGAAAGUGUGGGUAGCAAACAGGAUUAGAUACCCUGGUAGUCCACACCGUAAACGAUGAUUACUAGGUGUUGGAGGAUUGACCCCUUCAGUGCCGCAGUUAACACAAUAAGUAAUCCACCUGGGGAGUACGACCGCAAGGUUGAAACUCAAAGGAAUUGACGGGGGCCCGCACAAGCAGUGGAGUAUGUGGUUUAAUUCGACGCAACGCGAAGAACCUUACCAAGUCUUGACAUCCUGCGACGAUGCUGGAAACAGUAUUUUCCUUCGGGACGCAGAGACAGGUGGUGCAUGGUUGUCGUCAGCUCGUGUCGUGAGAUGUUGGGUUAAGUCCCGCAACGAGCGCAACCCUUAUGGUCAGUUACUACGCAAGAGGACUCUGGCCAGACUGCCGUUGACAAAACGGAGGAAGGUGGGGAUGACGUCAAAUCAUCAUGCCCUUUAUGACUUGGGCUACACACGUACUACAAUGGCGUUAAACAAAGAGAAGCAAGACCGCGAGGUGGAGCAAAACUCAGAAACAACGUCCCAGUUCGGACUGCAGGCUGCAACUCGCCUGCACGAAGUCGGAAUUGCUAGUAAUCGUGGAUCAGCAUGCCACGGUGAAUACGUUCCCGGGCCUUGUACACACCGCCCGUCACACCAUGAGAGCCGGGGGGACCCGAAGUCGGUAGUCUAACCGCAAGGAGGACGCCGCCGAAGGUAAAACUGGUGAUUGGGGUGAAGUCGUAACAAGGUAGCCGUACUAGUACGAGCACGUG
rnacentral:rRNA from 1 species